rnacentral:tRNA from 1 species
GGCCUGAUAGCUCAACGGGUGGAGUACUGCACCGGCAUCGCAGAGGUCAGGGUUCGAGUCCCGCUCAGGCCU